CAGCGCCCCAAGUGGGAACCAGCAUUAUUGGGCCUAAAGCGUUCGUAGCCGGAACGGUAAAUCUUUUGUGAAAUUGUUGGGCUUAACUCAACAGCGUGCAGAAGACACUGCCAUUCUUGGGACCGGGAGGAGUCAGAGGUAUUCUAGAGGGAGCGGUAAAAUGCAGUAAUCUCUAGAGGACCACCUGUGGCGAAGGCGUCUGACCAGAACGGAUCCGACGGUGAGGGACGAAAGCUAGGGGAGCAAACCGGAUUAGAUACCCGAGUAGUCC
rnacentral:rRNA from 1 species